GGGCGGGGGCACGGGGGGACUCCUACGGGAGGCAGCAGUCGGGAAUUUUGGGCAAUGGGCGAAAGCCUGACCCAGCAACGCCGCGUGAAGGAUGAAGUAUUUCGGUAUGUAAACUUCGAAAGAAUAGGAAGAAUAAAUGACGGUACUAUUUAUAAGGUCCGGCUAACUACGUGCCAGCAGCCGCGGUAAUACGUAGGGACCAAGCGUUGUUCGGAUUUACUGGGCGUAAAGGGCGCGUAGGCGGCUUAACAAGUCACUUGUGAAAUCUCCGGGCUUAACUCGGAACGGCCAAGUGAAACUGUUAUGCUAGAGUGCAGAAGGGGCAAUCGGAAUUCUUGGUGUAGCGGUGAAAUGCGUAGAUAUCAAGAGGAACACCUGAGGUGAAGACGGGUUGCUGGGCUGACACUGACGCUGAGGCGCGAAAGCCAGGGGAGCAAACGGGAUUAGAUACCCCGGUAGUCCUGGCCCUAAACGAUGAAUACUUGGUGUCUGGAGUCUUUAAUGCUCCGGGUGCCGUCGCUAACGUUUUUAGUAUUCCGCCUGGGGAGUACGCUCGCAAGAGUGAAACUCAAAGGAAUUGACGG
rnacentral:rRNA from 1 species